UGUCUGCUCCGUUCCGGUGUUGUCCAGCUCUCCCAGUGCUCCCAGUGCCUCACUGCUCACCUGUGCUGCCUGGACUUCUGAGCACGUCUUCAUUAAAACCACCAUUCUCUCACUUCAACCUGGCUGCUUGUCUCCUGGCAACAGAUGUCUCUGACUCCGGCACACCGAGCGCUCACUGUGCCAGAAAACGAUACUCAUGAGGAGGCGUCUUCAUACAGAACGGAAAUCUCCACAUCACAUCCUGAACUUAGAAACGUCGACAUGCAUGAUGUGCUCCUGCAAACCCGGAUGAACUUCACCGAAAACGGAAGGAAGAUGGAAG